UAUAUCUUCGGAUUCAGCGUCGCCUUGUUUGCAUCCUCCGUCGCUAUUAGCCGGUUUUCCUUUUGCCGCGUUGUGAGUGUGUCUCUGUCUCUGGUUGUCUUGCGCGUGCGUAUGUGCGUUGUAGCUGGGUUGAAGCCUCUGCUCAGCAUCUGACCCCCCCCCCCUCCCACACACACACGUUGUUGUGUGCCACUGAGAAGGUGGUUCCCUCUCUUCCGUUCUUGUCCCUCACUCUCUUGCGCUGUCCGUCCCGCGCUCCCCUCUUGCACGGUGGCAAAGGGCUCGGGAGAAGACUCCGCCCCCGUCGUUGUCGUCGUUGUUGCUGCUGCCGCCGCUGGUGCCGUGGCGUGGUGCCUUUCACUGAUAGUUUUUGUUUUGUCUUCAACCCUGCGGUACAGCAUCUUCGGUGGCGUUGCUGCUGCUGCUGUGUGCCUGAUUCGGAAGCGCAGAGAGGAGGCUGCGGCGCCUACGGUGCAUCGACGCACUUCCACGUCCGCGCACGCCCACUCCGUAUUCAUCGCCCCGUACACAGUCUUACAUAUACCCACGGCACUUUCCGGGAUACAGAGUGCGUGCGUCACCAUUAGCCCCCAGCAGAGGAGGAGGACGGCAGCGGGCAAGCUGGCAGCGAGGCACACGAAGAAAGGGCUGCACCUGCGCACACGGCGAGAGCGGCUCUCCUCAAGUCUCCUGCCGACACACACACACACCUCACCGCUGAGCGCGCCAUAUCCGGCUCUCUCCUUCGUUUUUUCGCCCCGUGUCGCCUUUCGCGAUUUCGCACUGCCGCGCUGUUGCCAUCGUCACUGUCGCCAUGAACAAGAACUACCCGGGCCGCAUCACAUCCGCCCCGCUGGCGCAGCAGGCGCGGGGGAUGUCGUUGCGCCCCGGUGCGCCGGCUAGCUUUCUGGACCGCGCGCAGCCUGGAGGCGCGGGUACAGGCAUCGGCGCCCAGCAGCCGCACCACCACAGCAGUCUGCCUCGCGCGCCGCGGGCCAAGCUGCCUACCCAGCUGCAGGCCCCCGCCCCAGCACCCCCACCGCCGAAGGAGGAGGCGGAGGAGGAGCGUAGCGGUGCCGCCGAGGUCGUGCCGUCCGAGGUGUCAUACCCGGAGGACCACAUCUACGACGUGGAGGACUUCAUCAAACUGCGCAAGUGCCAGGCGCCGGUGCCGAGCGAAGUAAUGGAAUACGCGCGUGCGAUGUGGAAGGAGAUGCCGGAGAACAUGGACGACAUGGAGAACAACUCCCUGCGCGAUAAUCUCUUCCGCGAGCAGAACGCGUCGACCAUGUCGAAGGUGAUGACAGACCGUAAGAUCAACAACGAGGUACUGGGCAUUCUCGGCAAGGUCACCGCAUCGAACCUAGAGAAGAUGAAGAAAGAGCUAACAGACCUGCCCAUUCGGCAGUCUACCAAGGAGGAGAUCGACGAGGUCAUCAAAGUCUUUUUCAACAAGUCAACGAAGCCGGAGGAUAGCUGCUACACGCACCUGUACGUGCAGCUCAUUGCGCACCUCAUCUCCUCCAUCGGCGAGCGCGAAGAGGCCGGUCGCAUGAUCCGCAAUGAGGUGCUUCGUCAGUGCCGAUCCACGUUCAUGAACUCUGGGGCAGAGGCGGUGGAGCUGGAGAAGCGGAUGGCCACCAUGUCGCCAGAGGACGCUGAGAUGGAGCGUAUCCAGUUCUCAGGCAAGCAGAAGGCAAACAUUCAGUUCCUGGGGUUGAUGUUCACGAGCCGACUGGUCCGCCAGAAGGUUGUGCACGCCGUGCUGGACUCGCUGCUCUACGGCCCCGGCCAUCGCCGCCACAUUCCGACCGACUACAGCCUCAUCCACUUCAUGGAGCUUCUGCAGGUGUGCGGUCCUCACCUGGACGCCGCUUUCUACGAGGACCCACUCCCGCGCUACCGUGAGACGAUUACUGAGCUGAGCAACUCGCACCCGCAGAAGCGUAUCCAGUUCCUGCUGCAGAACUUCCUCGAGACUAUGAACAACAACUGGGUGCCGCUGCACGGUCCCGGCGCACGCCGCACCGAGGGCGGCGGCAGCGCGGCGCAGGGCAACACCAACAACAACGGCUCUGGAACGCUGUUGAAUAACAACGGCCGCGGCGGCAGCCUGCCCACAAUGCCGCUGGCGCCCAUGCCCAUCCAGGAGGCGCAGCCACGAAUCCCUGACUACGAGGAGUUCUCCAAGGUGAUGGAUGACUUCUUCAUGAGCAGCUCUGUCGACGAGAUCGUCUCCAUCAUGUCUUCGAUCCCCCCUGAGGUGGUCGUGGUGUACUGCACCAAGUGGCUUGGUCGGUAUAUCAAUACAUACAAGUACACGGCAGAGCGCACCCGCCUCGGUGAGCUCUUCGAGACCUUGAUGAAGAAGGGGGCUCUCACCACGGAGCAAGCGCAGGAGGCGCUGCUGCAACACGUGCAGAAGUCAGCGGAGGAGGAGCUAUUCACGGACAUCCCAAAGUACUUUGUGCACUGGGCGUCGCUGAUCAAGCACGGCCACAGCGUCUUCCCAUACUCGCUGCACACAAAGGUGCUCAACAUGCUUGUAGAUCAUCACGUGAGCAUGGAGGUCAUUGCGAACAUGGUGCGCGACGUGGAGGCCGACACGAAGCCGGACCAGCUGAAGGACCUGAAGCCUCAAGACCGCUUUCGCGUCCUGCAAGCGCUUCUGCGCUACACCCCGCCCAUGUUCGUUCAUGAAGCGGACGAUGACCAGCAGCCGAAGCAGACCGUGCUGGACCUGGUCGGUACCAUCGACCCCGAGGUGACGUACUUUAACGAACUGUGCACCUCCUACGAUGACGACAACUUCCACGCCAGUCCGGCCCUGAGCGACAUGCAGAAGCAGAGCCCGUUUCUCUGCGCAUCGGCCUUCUUUACGUUCGUUCGAUACGACGUGAACUUCCUGUGCACCCAAUACAAGGAGCUGCUGCGCAAGAUCUUCACCGCACGCCCGGCAGACACGCUGCUCGUGGAGGUGUACCUCCAGUGGAAGUGUCUGGGGUGCUCGCACCGCUUCCUCUUUUCUUUCAUCCGCAAAGUACUAGAUGUUGUGAACAACCGCCUAGACGUGCUCAACAAGCUCUCCGCGCAGCUGCGCACCACCUUCAAGGAAGAUACGCUUGUCUCGCUGAUGGAGGAGGCCAUCAAGGAGCGGAAGUGAGCCGGAUCCGGAUGAGGGGCGUGGAGAGCAUUUUCUGGUCUUCUCUUCCUCCUGCACUCCCCUCCCCCUCCCUCUCCCUCUCUUGCGACUCACUGACGCCCUCGCACUGCGCCUUUGACGUGGCGGUGUUCGUGAGCAGCUUACGUGUAUUGUAGGGCGUUUCGGUUCUGCGGCGUGUAAGUGCGCGUGCCGAUGUCGACGGCUGAAACCGGCGUGUCGUGUUGCUCGUAGCCGCUUCGCCUUCCUUCCGUUUUGCCCCGUGGUACCCUCCCUGCCUCUGUCUCUCUCCCUGUCUGUCUGUCUCUGUCUGGUGUGUCGUGUGGCGCAUCGUGCCGCGGAUGGCAGCGGCGCAUAGUAUUGUGGGCGCAGACGUUCUUGAUGGUUUCGGCGUUGUGCCUUCUUUAUCGCUUAUAUAUAUAUAUAUAUAUUGUGUGUGUGUGUGUUCCGUUGGUUUUCUUUUUUUUUGUGCGUGCGCGGUUGCGCGACGGUGGAUGCGCCCUCUCGUGCCGGAGGUUUCCCUCGCUCUAGACUCUCGUGCUGCACGGCUGACUUUGGCGUCCAGGGAGGCGAGGAGGAGAGACUGCUCAUGACGAUGAUGGCAGUGGCGGUUUGUUGUUUUUUAAGGGGGAGGCAGGCAGGCAGGCAAGAGGGAGACGUCGGCCUGCCUUUCCGCGUGUCGGAGCGUGUUUCUUCUUUUCCACGUGGCCGGUUAGUCAGGUGCGCGUGAAAAGAGGAAGAGGAGGGCCGGUGAAGACGGCGACUGGUCGGAUGGCACAUGGCGGUGGCUGCAUGUGAGUGGUGUCGGUGUGCGAAAAGGCGGGAACGGGAAGGAGAGCACACUUGGUCUCUCCUCAUCUUCGAGGAUGUGUCUGCAGCGCGGGGGGCGGUGAGUGGGAGGGGGUGGCAUGAAGUAGACGUAACUAUCUCACACCUCUUUCCUAGCAUCCCACCCACAUCUUCCUAUGCUUUUUUUUCCUUCUCGCGGCGUAUGUAUUAGUAGUUGUGCGUGUGCGGGUGCAAGUGUGGGUGUGGGUAUCGCGGUCAGCAGCUAUACCGUCUUAGAGGCUGUUUGCUUCUCUACUUCCUUCUGUUUUCGCCUUCCCUCGCUUCCCCUUCUCAUGGGUCGGUGUGCUUCAACACUGUUGUCUGUCAAACAGCGGCAGCUGCGCUGAUGGCGGAGGCUCCCCCCCCCUCCCUGGAUCGCUGACGUGAGUAUAGAGUUGUGUCUGUGCAGGUGUCUCUUGGGUUACGCAGCGGUGUAGGGAAGGGAAGGGAAUGGGCAAGGAGAGGGAACGCGCGAAGGGAGUGGUGAUGGCGAGUGGGGGUAUGAAUCGAAGACGUGUCGAAGGAUGUGGACCUCAUCGCCAUCCCCACUCACCCACCCACCUAACCCAACGCUUCGUUGCUGUAGGCAUCGCUGUUGGCUCUAUGUGUGUCGGUGCUGCGUUUCCCAGGCACGCAUGCAGGCAGAGACGCCCCCUGUCGGUGUCUCUCCGUCGGCGUUUGUGUGCUCACGUGCCCGGAUGCCCUUCUUUUUUCUUCUCAACUUGUCGACGCAUGAUGGCGCUCGCUGUCAUUAAGCGUGUGUGUGUGUGCGUCGUUGCUACCCAGAUGCCGUCGACGUCUUUCAUUUGUUGUUGGGCGGAAGCCGUUGAUGUGUGUGUGUGUGUGUGCCGGUGUGCCGGCCGUCGCGCCCGCCCUCCCUCUCUCUCCAUCUGCUUUGUCUGUGCAGAAGGCCCUUAACGUGUGCGUGCCGGGCGGAUGAGGAGGUCGGCGCCACGUCGGCGGACCAUGUCGUGUGUGCGUGUGUUGUUUUACAGGUGGGCUCCCCUCUUCAUCGUUUUAUACGUUCUCGUGCCCGCGUUCAUCAAGAUCAACGGAACAUUGAAAACGUCGCAUGCGUACCGAAAGCCCCCGUCCAUUCGACAGGAGAGACGGCGCGCCAGCUCGUUUUUGCUCCCUCGCGCUGUUUGUGUGUGUGUGUGUGUGUGUGUGUGUGUGUGCAUCCUUGGCCAUCUCUUCCGUCCAACCCUGCUUCACCUAUCCGCAUCUCUACACCGCCACGCGAAGACGUGCAGCAUCAGUGUCGAUGAGCGACGGCAGGCCACAUGGACGAGGGAGGUGGUCACGCAGACGGAAAGAGCCAUUGAAGACGGCGCAGGCAGAGAAGACGGUCACUCGUGUAUGGAGGCCGCCUCUGCCGCCGCCGCCCUUGUCUCUUAUUCUACCAUCCUCUCUCUCGCUCUUUCUGAGAGAGACAGUAGGGAAGGAGCAGGGCAGGAAGGCAUGCAAUGACGUCUGCGCGUCCUCCAACCACCCACCACCACACCCGCCGUCUCCCGCCCCACCCACUUCGUUCCGCACUCCAAGCAGAAACGAGUGUCUCUCUGUGCACGUGGGCAUGCGUGCUUCAGGCAUCAGCGAACCGUCAUCACCGUCGUACACGUCAACCGUGCAGCACGCUGUGGUGGCUCAUCAUUGACCCGACCUCAUCAUCUGCCCCCCCACCCCUACCCCCUCCCUCCUACGACCUUUCUGUUUGUUGUGCCCAUGAGCGCAG
rnacentral:misc_RNA from 1 species